AAAGGGCUGCAGUUUUAUCACUGUACAAAGGUAGCAUAAUCAUUAGUUUUUUAAUUGGAAACUUGUAUGAAAGAUUUGAUGAAAUAUUAUCUGUCUCUAUUUUAUUAUUAGAAUUUUAUUUUUUAGUGAAAAAGCUAAAAUAAUUUUAAAAGACGAGAAGACCCUAUAGAGUUUUAUAUUUAAUUUUAUUUUAGGUUUUAUAUGAAAAUUAAUAUUAAAAUAAAAUUUAAUAUUGUAUUGGGGUGAUAGAAAAAUUAGGAUAACUUUUUUUAAACAAUAAACAUAAAUAAAUGAUUAAAUGAUCCAUUAAUAAUGAUUAUAAGAAAAAAUUACCUUAGGGAUAACAGCGUAAUAUUUUUUUUUAGUUCAAAUAAAAAAAAA
rnacentral:rRNA from 1 species